GUAAAAACAACAUAAAGUGGUGCAUCGUAAUGCACAGCAGGAUGGAGGGGUAUAAGGUAGAAGCACAUUGUCAAGUUCUGGUUUGUUUGGGAGUGGCGGGCCGGGUACCCUUGCUGGAUAGCGCCUCUCCGGUGGUGGCUGGGCCCGGGAUGUUCCAGGUUGUGCUGUGUUGUUCCAUUUGUGUUGCGGGUAGGUCCAGUAUCUUCCGCUGCCCAUUGGGUUCGUUUCUGCAGGUAUUUCCAUGGAUCUGAUAUUUUUGAAGUGGGAUUCUUAUUAAGUAAACUCUCUUUUCUCUGAUGGGUGAGUAUCUCAAAUGUCUCUGUGCAAAUGGCUUGGGCUGGGUUCUUCAUCUGUUUUACUACUUUAGCAUCUUGCCAUUCUAACAUUAUCUCUUCUUCCUAGGCUUUAAGUGACACAGUCGUUGUCAUUUUGGCUUUCUCUAUGUUGCUCUUGUGUUCAAGGAACCCCACUUCAAAAAUACCAGAUGCAUGGAAGUGUACCUACUGCAACAAACUGAAUUGGCAGCAGAAGAUACUGGACCUACCUGCAACUCAGAUGGAACAGUCCAGCAUCUCUAAAUAAACCAGGACUUGAUAAUGUGCUUCUACUUUAUAUUUUUCUAUUUUGUUAUGCAUUACGAUAUUUUAUAUUGUUUUAUUCUCUUAGAUUUAUAUGUUUUUUUUCUAUGUUUAAGAUUAUUUAGUAUUAUUUAUUGGUUUAUAUAGUAUCAUUUAUUUACUCUAUUGUGAUAUUAUUUAUUUUCUGUGUUACGGUGUAUAUACCUAAAGUUCUGUUAAAAAAUUUUUAUAAAGCAUUUGUAAAAAAGUUUAUCGAACAGUGUUCCCACAGCAACAAGGAACAGUCUGCCUGUUAGCUUGUUGGAUUGUUCUAUGAUAUUUGGAUAUUUGAAAUUGUUGUAGCCUGAGAAGGGUGGCUGAGUAACACUGAAAACAUUAGCAUUGAGUUAAUAAAAGACCGCUAUUUAAUCCGUAACUGCCAAGUAGUGUUAUAUAUAGACUAGUUAAUGUUAUAGCAAUGAUUAAGCAGUGGUUAUCUGAGAGUUUUAUGGAUGUGUGCUAUAUUUUUAAAAUUCUCUACUCAUUCUAAUAUGUUAUUCUAUUUUUUGUAAUAUUCUGUAAACUUGUAUAUCAUAAU
rnacentral:lncRNA from 1 species